rnacentral:lncRNA from 1 species
GAUGGACCAUUCAUUUAUCAAAUUGAAUUCUUUUCUUAAAUAAAAACUAUGGAAUUACCUAAGGGGAAAUUACAUGUUUACCGCAUGAAAGUUACUAUUUUUCAUUUUUACCACCACCAAAUGGACAUUUUCAAAAAUAUUUUUUUUCAUUAAGUGGCAAAAGACUCUUAUGCCCUUGUUCUUUAUAUAUAUAAUAAACAAAUAUUUAAAUAAAUAAAAAUUAAAAAAAAUAAAAAAUAAUUGUUUUAAUUUUUUUUCGAAUCAUACUAUUUCGAAAUUUAAACCCUAAACCCUAAAACUCAACUCUAAACCCUAAACCAUCAAUCAUAAACCCUAUUUUUUUUUGAAAUACGAACCCUAAAUCCUGAAACAUCAACUCUAAACCCUAAACCCCGAAACAUCAACUCUAAACCCUAAACCCUAAACCCUAAACCCUAAACCCUAAACCUUCAACUCUAAACCCUAAAACAUCAACUCUAAACCCUAAACCCUAAACUUCGACUCUAAACCCUAAACCAUCAACACUGAACCCUAAACUGUCAAAAC